AGCGAACGCUGGCGGCAGGCCUAACACAUGCAAGUCGAACGAGGUCUUCGGACCUAGUGGCGGACGGGUGAGCAACACGUGGGAACGUGCCCUUUGGUACGGAAUAACUCAGGGAAACUUGAGCUAAUACCGUAUGUGCCCUUCGGGGGAAAGAUUUAUCGCCAUUGGAGCGGCCCGCGUCUGAUUAGCUAGUUGGUGAGGUAAUGGCUCACCAAGGCGACGAUCAGUAGCUGGUCUGAGAGGAUGACCAGCCACAUUGGGACUGAGACACGGCCCAAAUUCCUACGGGAGGCAGCAGUGGGAAUCUUGCGCAAUGGGCGAAAGCCUGACGCAGCCAUGCCGCGUGGAUGAUGAAGGUCUUAGGAUUGUAAAAUCCUUUCACCGGUGAAGAUAAUGACUGUAGCCGGAGAAGAAGCCCCGGCUAACUUCGUGCCAGCAGCCGCAGUAAAAC
rnacentral:rRNA from 1 species